UUCAUCUUUUCUCUGUGAGAUUGCAGGACAUGAGGUCAUUUCCUGGGUCUGAGCAGGGAGAGGAGGAGGCAGAAGGUCUGAGGAAAGCAGAAAAGGUCUGCAGUCAUCUCCUGACAGGAAAGAACAAGAACUUUUCAGGGACCCACCUGAAGUUGGAUUUGGUGACACAUAGUCAUUCUCUUGAAGUUGACUUCACUCCUUCCCCAAACUCCAGGGAAAUGGCAAGAACAGGGACACGUUUCUAGAGGUGUUAACCCACCAAGACAAAGGGGACGGGAGAGGAACAGUCACCCAAGGAUGAGAGAAUCAGCAAACUGAGUGUGAGAGGAACUGACCUUGCAGAGUGGAGGUGGCUGUCCCACAGGUGCCUGCAGAAGGGAGUUCUGUGAAAAAGGACUCAGUUUCCACCCUGCAGACACCAGGAGACUCAGGACCAAUAAUAGGAACGCGGAGCUCCACCUACUUACAGAAGCAUCAGCGCCUGACAAGAAACUAAACAACGUCGCUCGGAUAUACGGGAGAGGAGACUUCUGGUCCUGUGAGAGAGUCCCAACAGGACGUCGACACAGCAGAACCCUCCACAGACAUGUGUGUGCUGCUUGAGAAGGCGGUCACCCAGCAGAAGCUGAACUAACCCCUCAGGCACUUCUGCCGAGUUGCUCAGAGCCUGUUAAACUGGAAGUUUCUCAGAAGACCAGAAAUGUGGUCAAGCACCCAAUUUCCGGGCUUCUCAGUGCAUUUACCAAACUGAUAACAUUCACUCUAAACGUCUUGCUGAAACAAACCAGACCUGCAGAGGACAAUUUCUGCCUGGAAAUCCCUCAGUGCGUACGUUUCACGGUGUGAUUUCCUCCUGUGCACGUUGCAGUUAGGCACAGUAGAGGUCAUAGGUGAGCCAGCGUUUCCCUGCAAAUGCCAGGUUUUCAGCGUCCCCUUUCUGCACGGUGUGCCUGCAGCCUAGGCUGCAGAAUCACCCGAUUGCAAUGCCAGAAGGAAUGCUAUGGAGAAUCCGGUUCAGCUCCCUAGGCUCUCAGAUGAAGGAAGAAGGUUCAGAGAGAAGGAACGAUGCCCUUAAUGGGUUUGGGGUAAGGAGUGCACUAGAACCCCAGCCUCCUGAGUUGCAGUCAGACCUCUUUCCAGUGAACUACCCUGCGGGUGACUUUGCAGAAAUGUUUAGAUAAGGUUUGUCUCCGUGGCUGGAGCUGCGUUGCAAUGUGGACAUGCCACCUCUUAUUCUUAG